GGAGCGCGACUGACGCUAAAGCUCGAAAGUGCGGGUAUCGAACAGGAUUAGAUACCCUGGUAGUCCGCACGGUAAACGAUGGAUGCCCGCUAUUUGUCCGCCUGAGGAUAAGUGGCCAAGCGAAAGCGUUAAGCAUCCCACCUGGGGAGUACGCCGGCAACGGUGAAACUCAAAGGAAUUGACGGGGGCCCGCACAAGCGGAGGAACAUGUGGUUUAAUUCGAUGAUACGCGAGGAACCUUACCCGGGCUUGAAUUGCAGGUGAACGAUACAGAGAUGUUGAGGUCCUUCGGGACACCUGUGGAGGUGCUGCAUGGUUGUCGUCAGCUCGUGCCGUGAGGUGUCGGCUUAAGUGCCAUAACGAGCGCAACCCUUUUUGCGAGUUGCCGUCAGGUAAUGCUGGGGACUCUUGCGAUACUGCCACCGUAAGGUGUGAGGAAGGUGGGGAUGACGUCAAAUCAGCACGGCCUUUACGUCCGGGGCUACACACGUGUUACAAUGGGUGGUACAGAGAGUGGGCCGCACGCAAGUUCGGUCAAAUCAUGAAAGCCAUCCUCAGUUCGGAUUGGGGUCUGCAACCCGACCCCAUGAAGCUGGAUUC
rnacentral:rRNA from 1 species